GACGAACGCUGGCGACGUGCUUAACACAUGCAAGUCGAGCGGUAAGGCCCUUUCGGGGGUACACGAGCGGCGAACGGGUGAGUAACACGUGGGUGACCUGCCCUCAGCUCUGGGAUAAGCCUGGGAAACCGGGUCUAAUACCGGAUAUGACUCCAUGACGCAUGUUGUGGGGUGGAAAGCCUUGUGCGGCUGAGGAUGGGCCCGCGGCCUAUCAGCUUGUUGGUGGGGUGANGGCCUACCAAGGCGACGACAGGUAGCCGGCCUGAGAGGGCGACCGGCCACACUGGGACUGAGACACGGCCCAGACUCCUACGGGAGGCAGCAGUGGGGAAUCUUGCGCAAUGGGCGAAAGCCUGACGCAGCGACGCCGCGUGAGGGAUGACGGCCUCGG
rnacentral:rRNA from 1 species